rnacentral:rRNA from 1 species
AGUUGCGAAGGCGGCUCUCUGGACUGUAACUGACGCUGAGGCACGAAAGCGUGGGGAGCAAGCAGGACUAGAAACCCUGGUAGUCCACGCUGUAAACGAUGAGUACUAGGUGUCGGGGGUUACCCCCCUCGGUGCCGCAGCUAACGCAUUAAGUACUCCGCCUGGGAAGUACGCUCGCAAGAGGGAAACUCAAAGGAAUUGACGGGGACCCGCACAAGUAGCGGAGCAUGUGGUUUAAUACGAAGCAACGCGAAGAACCUUACCUAAGCCUGACAUCCCAAUGACAUCUCCUUAAUCGGAGAGUUCCCUUCGGGGACAUUGGUGACAGGUGGUGCAUGGUUGUCGUCAGCUCGUGUCGUGAGAUGUUGGGUUAAGUCCCGCAACGAGCGCAACCCUUGUCUUUAGUUGCCAUCAUUAAGUUGGGCACUCUAGAGAGACUGCCAGGGAUAACCUGGAGGAAGGUGGGGAUGACGUCAAAUCAUCAUGCCCCUUAUGCUUAGGGCUACACACGUGCUACAAUGGGUAGUACAGAGGGUUGCCAAGCCGUAAGGUGGAGCUAAUCCCUUAAAGCUACUCUCAGUUCGGAUUGUAGGCUGAAACUCGCCUACAUGAAGCUGGAGUUACUAGUAAUCGCAGAUCAGAAUGCUGCGGUGAAUGCGUUCCCGGGUCUUGUACACACCGCCCGUCACACCACGGGAGUUGGAGACGCCCGAAGCCGAUUAUCUAACCUUUUGGAAGAAGUCGUCGAAGGUGGAAUCAAUAACUGGGGUGAAGUCGUAACAAGGUAGCCGUAUCGGAAGGUGCGGCUGGAUCACCUCCUUUCUAAGGA